UACGUAGGGGGCAAGCGUUGUUCGGAAUUACUGGGCGUAAAGGGCUCGUAGGCGGCCAACUAAGUCAGACGUGAAAUCCCUCGGCUUAACCGGGGAACUGCAUCUGAUACUGGAUGGCUUGAGUUCGGGAGAGGGAUGCGGAAUUCCAGGUGUAGCGGUGAAAUGCGUAGAUAUCUGGAGGAACACCGGUGGCGAAGGCGGCAUCCUGGACAGAUACUGACGCUGAGACUCGAAAGCGUGGGGAGCAAACAGG
rnacentral:rRNA from 1 species